GCGCCUGUAGCUCAGUUGGAUAGAGCAACGGAUUUCUAAUCCGUAGGUCGGGGGUUCGAAUCCCUCCAGGCGCG
rnacentral:tRNA from 1 species